rnacentral:snRNA from 1 species
CUCUCUAGGAGAUAAGAUAUGUAU